rnacentral:rRNA from 1 species
GAUGAACGCUAGCGGCAGGCAUAAUACAUGCAAGUUGAACGGGAUUCAGAUAGCAAUAUUUGAUGAGAGUGGCGCACGGGUGCGUAACACGUAUGCAACUUACCUUAAACUGGGAGAUAGCCCGUGGAAACAUGGAUUAAUAUCCCAUAGUAUAAAGAACAGGCAUUUGUUUUUUAUUAAAGCUCCGGCGGUUUAAGAUGGGCAUGCGCGUCAUUAGCUAGAUGGAGAGGUAACGGCUCACCAUGGCAACGAUGACUAGGGGGUCUGAGAGGAUGUCCCCCCACACUGGUACUGAGACACGGGCCAGACUCCUACGGGAGGCAGCAGUAGGGAAUAUUGGGCAAUGGACGCAAGUCUGACCCAGCCAUGCCGCGUGCAGGAAGACGGCCCUCUGGGUUGUAAACUGCUUUUAUCAGGGAAGAAACCCUUCUACGUGUAGGAGGCUGACGGUACCUGAGGAAUAAGGAUCGGCUAACUCCGUGCCAGCACG